UAACCUUGCAUAAGAGUGCAAGCUGAACGGUCAGAAGUCAGCAGAAGCCAUAGUACCCGCUUGGUCUAGACAAGAGGGGAAGGGC
rfam:Bacillus halodurans C-125 DNA, complete genome.